CGGAGCUGGGUGAGAGCUGCCGGCGAUUGGUGAGGUGUGGGGCGCGCGAUUCGGGCGAAAACAAGUCGCUCGCUCACGAGGCGGGGCGCGUCCUAGAUGCGCGUGCACGAUUAAUGACCGGGAGGAGGAGAGGGAGAACAGACGGGCAGAUUCCAGUCAGAAUCCCAUUGCUCACGUUUAUGGAAGGUGGAAGGCACCUCUAAACACAAAAGGAAGGAGAGAGAGAAAGCAGGAAACUAAAGGAUCCUCAAGAGUCUGUCACUCCAUCAGAGAAGGUUAACCUGAAGUUCAGCAUGAGGUUGGGACCUGGGCUGUGGAGCUGUUCCAGCUGUCGAUGCUGCCUGACCUGCUGAGUGUUUCCAGCAUUCUGUGUUCAUGGUGGGACCUGAUGAGGCAUCCACUGGAGGGCUGGGCUUUACUACACUGUCUGUCUACCUCUGGCUGUACCUCACCGGGAGGCCAUUACUGCAGGAUAUACCAGGACAAUCCACUGGAACUGUCAGACCCAGCACAAGUCCAACUGACACGACAGCAAACUCUGCUCUAACUGCCCCACGCUGGACGCUGCCUCUGGAGGUUCAUCUCAUCUCAGUCACCGUCUGGGAACAGAUCACCUGGAGUAGAGGUCCAAGGCAUCCCGUCCACAGCUGCGGGCGGGCCCUGUGGUCAGUCCAGGGUGGACCCUCCAGUACC